CCUACGGGAGGCUGCAGUGAGGAAUAUUGGUCAAUGGGCGGAAGCCUGAACCAGCCAAGUCGCGUGAGGGAAUAAGGCCCUACGGGUCGUAAACCUCUUUUGCCGGGGAGCAAGGGCCGGGACGCGUCCCGGCCCGGAGAGUACCCGGAGAAAAAGCAUGGGCUAACUCCGUGCCAGCAGCCGGGGUAAUACGCAGGAUGCAAGCGUUAUCCGGAUUUAUUGGGUUAAAAGGGUGCGUAGGCGGUUGUUUAGGUCAGCGGUAAAAUUUCGGGGCUCAACCCCGUCCGGCCGUUGAAACUGGGGGCCUUGAGUGGGCGAGAAGUAGGCGGAAUGCGUGGUGUAGCGGUGAAAUGCAUAGAUAUCACGCAGAACCCCGAUUGCGAAGGCAGCCUGCCGCAGCGUUACUGACGCUGAGGCUCGAAAGCGCGGGUAUCGAACAGGAUUAGAUACCCCUGUAGUC
rnacentral:rRNA from 1 species